rnacentral:rRNA from 1 species
UACAGAGGGUGCGAGCGUUGUUCGGAAUUACUGGGCGUAAAGCGCGCGCAGGCGGCUUUUUAGGUCCAUCGGUGAAAUGCCGGGGCUCAACCCCGAGCAUGCCGAGGAUACUGGAAGGCUGGAGACACGUAGAGGCAAGCGGAAUUCCGGGUGUAGCGGUGGAAUGCGUAGAGAUCCGGAAGAACACCGGAGGCGAAGGCGGCUUGCUGGGCGUGAUCUGACGCUGAGGCGCGAAAGCGUGGGGAGCGAACAGG